AAUGCAAUUUUAGUCUUCAUUUUUGGUAAUAAAAAAGAAGACAAACCCUAGCGGCCGUUACUCUCUCUCGAUCUCUUGAGCGAUUUCCGGUGAAGUCAACCCGUCUCAGCCGCUUACACUGGUUGCUGUCUCGCUGCUGUUGCUAUAUCUUCCCUCUGAUCUUCUCUCCGCCGCGUCUCCUCUCCGCCUCUCUCCACCGCGUCUCCUCUUCGCGUCUCUUUUUCUCACCGCAGUUCACUCUCCGCCUCUCUCUCAAAUACAACUUCCAUUUUCAAUGACCUCUGUCCAUGAAGGAGAAAGAUUUCAUCAUCUCAGAGCAGAAAAAAUCUGGUUGAGGUGAGUGAUGCAGAUCUUCUUUCAUUGAUAGAAAAUUACUGCAGAGAAGCAGGAGUUAGGAAUCUCCAGAAAUAAAUCGAGAAGAUUUACAAGAAGGCAGGGUGAGAGACUAUCAUAUUUCCAGAAGCAAACAUGAGAGACUUUGAAGAGCUUUCGGAGGAUGUGAAAGAAGGGCUUGAUGUUCACUUUGUGGAUGACUAUUAAAAGAUCUCCGACCUUGCAUUUGUCUCUGAGAAUAAGCAACAUGACUGAGAUAACUCAGAAGUCAUUUUGACCUUCUUUCCCUGUUGUCUCUGUCUAAACAAGAAGACCGACCAUUCUUGAUUCUUUUUUUUUUCUAUAUACUUCUGUCCCUUCAAGAAGUGUCCUAUUGUAACCUUUUUUUUUUCAUUAGGAUAGUUUAUUUAUGUGGUUGGACUGUUGUGGUAUAUUUUCACAAUCACAUCCAGAUCAUUAUGAAUCAAAAUAAAAUUGUUCUCUGCUUGUUAUACUAUGAACAGAUUGGUGUA